CUUUGGCAAUGUGUUAUCUGCUGAGUUUUUAUUACUUUUUCAUUGAAACUGUUAUUGAGCCAUAUCAAUAGAUUGCACAGUCGCAGCCCUGACUUCGGGUUGCUCUGUGGUAUUGACGGAUUCACUGAGGAAUAUAGUGUACAAUUCCUUCUAUAAUCAUAUAAAGAGAGGUCACCUUCAACACCUACUUGAAGGCACCCGAUCAGAUGAACAGCCAUCGGAGGAAAGCCAAGUACCACCGGAACAAGACAACAUUCAGCCCAAUCAGCUUCUAGCUAACUCCAGCAUCACUGAUCAGCAACUCCAUACACCUGACUCAGAUGAAGGGCAAAGGGGUAUUGACCAACAUGGAGCUGUCACAGUGCAACAAAAAGGUGUGAAUGACAUUUUUGCUGGAGUACAGUAGUAUCAAUCAUCACUAUUGGACAACCUCAGGAAGCAGAUGGAGGCAGUGCUAAAGAAGCAUUCAGGAAGCACAUCAGGUCAACUUGAAAAAGAUGCAAUGGAUAUAUUUGACAAUUUCAUUCCCAUUACUGGCGUUGCAACAACAUUUAGACAGGACAGUGUAAUUAACCUCUAUGGGCUAGGUGGGACGCAAGCGUCCCACCCGUGGUGCACUCCAUCAACAGCAGGUGCAUUUCAAGAGCGGCAAAUUUGAAUCCAAAUAAAUGUCAAAAUUCACAUUUUUCAAACAUACAACUAUUUU
rnacentral:lncRNA from 1 species